rnacentral:rRNA from 1 species
GUUGGGUUAAGUCCCGCAACGAGCGCAACCCUCGUCCUUAGUUGCUAACAGUUCGGCUGAGCACUCUAGGGAGACUGCCUUCGCAAGGAGGAGGAAAGGUGAGGACGACGUCAAGUCAUCAUGGCCCUUACGGCCUAGGGCUACACACGUGCUACAAUGGGGCGUACAGAGAGCUGCGAUACCGCGAGGUGGAGCCAAUCUCUUAAAGCGUCUCUCAGUUCGGAUUGUUCUCUGCAACUCGAGAACAUGACGCUGGAAUCACUAGUAAUCGCAGAUCAGCUAUGCUGCGGUGAAUACGUUCCCGGGUCUU